rnacentral:rRNA from 1 species
UACGUAGGGGGCAAGCGUUGUCCGGAAUCAUUGGGCGUAAAGCGCGUGUAGGCGGCUUGGUAAGUCCGCUCUGAAAGCCCGGGGCUCAACCCCGGGAGGCGGGUGGAUACUGUCAAGCUCGAGUCCGGAAGAGGCGAGUGGAAUUCCCGGUGUAGCGGUGAAAUGCGCAGAUAUCGGGAGGAACACCUAUUGCGAAGGCAGCUCGCUGGGACGUUACUGACGCUGAGACGCGAAAGCGUGGGGAGCAAACAGG